rnacentral:rRNA from 1 species
AACGAACGCUGGCGGCAUGCCUUACACAUGCAAGUCGAACGGUAACAGGCCGCAAGGUGCUGACGAGUGGCGAACGGGUGAGUAAUGCAUCGGAACGUGCCCAGUCGUGGGGGAUAACUGCUCGAAAGAGCAGCUAAUACCGCAUACGACCUGAGGGUGAAAGCGGGGGACCGUAAGGCCUCGCGCGAUUGGAGCGGCCGAUGUCAGAUUAGCUAGUUGGUGGGGUAAAGGCCCACCAAGGCAACGAUCUGUAGUUGGUCUGAGAGGACGACCAGCCACACUGGGACUGAGGCACGGCCCAGACUCCUACGGGAGGCAGCAGUGGGGAAUUUUGGACAAUGGACGCAAGUCUGAUCCAGCCAUGCCGCGUGCGGGAAGAAGGCCUUCGGGUUGUAAACCGCUUUUGUCAGGGAAGAAACGAGUUUCUCUAAUACAGAGACUUAAUGACGGUACCUGAAGAAUAAGCACCGGCUAACUACGUGCCAGCAGCCGCCGCCGUAA